rnacentral:rRNA from 1 species
UGGCUCAGGAUGAACGCUGGCGGCGUGCUUAACACAUGCAAGUCGAACGAAGCACUUUAUUUGAUUUCCUUCGGGACUGAUUAUUUUGUGACUGAGUGGCGGACGGGUGAGUAACGCGUGGGUAACCUGCCUUGUACAGGGGGAUAACAGUUGGAAACGGCUGCUAAUACCGCAUAAGCGCACAGCAUCGCAUGAUGCAGUGUGAAAAACUCUGGUGGUAUAAGAUGGACCCGCGUUGGAUUAGCUAGUUGGUGAGGUAACGGCCCACCAAGGCGACGAUCCAUAGCCGACCUGAGAGGGUGACCGGCCACAUUGGGACUGAGACACGGCCCAAACUCCUACGGGAGGCAGCAGUGGGGAAUAUUGCACAAUGGGCGAAAGCCUGAUGCAGCGACGCCGCGUGAGCGAAGAAGUAUUUCGGUAUGUAAAGCUCUAUCAGCAGGGAAGAUAAUGACGGUACCUGACUAAGAAGCACCGGCUAAAUACGUGCCAGCAGCCGCGGUAAUACGUAUGGUGCAAGCGUUAUCCGGAUUUACUGGGUGUAAAGGGAGCGCAGGCGGUGCGGCAAGUCUGAUGUGAAAGCCCGGGGCUCAACCCCGGUACUGCAUUGGAAACUGUUGUACUAGAGUGUCGGAGGGGUAAGCGGAAUUCCUAGUGUAGCGGUGAAAUGCGUAGAUAUUAGGAGGAACACCAGUGGCGAAGGCGGCUAACUGGACGAUAACUGACGCUGAGGCUCGAAAGCGUGGGGAGCAAACAGGAUUAGAUACCCUGGUAGUCCACGCUGUAAACGAUGAAUACUAGGUGUUGGGAAGCAUUGCUUCUCGGUGCCGUCGCAAACGCAGUAAGUAUUCC